rnacentral:tRNA from 1 species
GGAGAGGUGGCAGAGUGGUCGAUUGCAGCUGCCUGCUAAGCAGUUGUCCUGGAAACGGGACCCAGGGUUCGAACCCCUGCCUCUCCGCCA